rnacentral:rRNA from 1 species
UAGGGAAUCUUCCGCAAUGGACGAAAGUCUGACGGAGCAACGCCGCGUGAGUGAAGAAGGUUUUCGGUUCGUAAAACUCUGUUGUUAGGGAAGAAAAAAUGUAUAGUAACUAUAUACAAAAGAGACGGUACCUAACCAGAAAGCCACGGCUAACUACGUGCCAGCAGCCGCGGUAAUACGUAGGUGGCAAGCGUUGUCCGGAAUUAUUGGGCGUAAAGCGCGCGCAGGUGGUUUAGAAAGUCUGAUGUGAAAGCCCACGGCUCAACCGUGGAGGGUCAUUGGAAACUAAGAAACUUGAGUGCAGGAGAGAAAAGUGGAAUUCCUAGUGUAGCGGUGAAAUGCGUAGAGAUUAGGAGGAACACCGGUGGCGAAAGCGGCUUUUUGGCCUGCAACUGACACUGAGGCGCGAAAGCGUGGGGAGCAAACAGG